GAAGUUUUCCCAAAGGACUGGACUCUAACAGAGGCCAUUCUCACCAUUGAUGUGGAUGUGACAUUCCCGGUGCAGCUGUGCUUCAGGAGAAGAAAGAUAUGCUGGACACGCGGGCACCCUGGCAGUGACCCAGAAAGAUGUUGCCUGACAUUCCCCUGGGCAGCACUGAGGAAGUCUUGACACUUCAAAUGAAAUACCAUAUGGCUUUGCCACCAUAGGAAGUCAUGAAGUCACCAGAAAUACUCACAGCUCCCUGGCCAGGGGAGAAUGACUGUCCAUAACUAUUUCUAUAGCAGGAGACAGCACCAUGCAGCCAACUGUCUUACCAGGUCUCUGAUAUCCUGCAUGCUGGCAGCACAACUGAGCAAAUAUUUGAGUGAUAUGAAUAAGUUACACUUGAAUGGGAAGGCUGUCAGAACUUGGUGAAGCAGAGAGCUUGAGAAAGUGGCAGUCUUCCCUUAUCAGGAAAAACAAAAACAAACAAAAACAAAAAAAAACACUCUCAUGUUUUACGAGGAGAGAUUGCCUGCAACCAAAGGCUACCAGGCUGGGGGUUCAAAACCAAGAGAAUGAGUUAACAGAAAUCCAAACUUGGAUAGGGUUGGAUGGCCAAUCCCUCACACCUGCUCCCUUCCGUGCUCUAAGGAGUGUGGACUAGACACAGAAGCCAAAUAGGAAAUAAUAGUAAUGGCGGGAGAACUACUAAAUUACAGAGUUUCCCAAUAAAGCUUGUUUGAAAGAUAGAACACAGGCCUGAAGCUAAAACAGGGCUUCCAAUCUCUUCCUCUUUGAAUUCCAAGCCUACUCCUGGGGCUCUGAACCAGAGGUGCCUGGUUGCUGAAGGGCAGGGAGCUGCUGGAAAAUGCAGCCCUGGGCCCUGAGGAGGCCUGAGGUAGGGCACGAGAACUCUGUGUAUCACAAGGAGCCUGCUAGAAGCAGGAGUCUUGCGGCCUCCAGAUGCACACACAUUAAGGAGGAAGCCAGGGAAAGAGGCUGGUGCACGUUGCCUUUUUCAUAUACUUUGAAGGCAACAAGCGCAAAAAUUGAGCUAGCCAAUUAGCAGCUUCUUUGCAAUGAAAGCAGUCGGAUCAUCUAUGCCUGAGGGUAAGGUCAUUAGGGCGCAAAACUAAAAAUGUUUACUCUAAAACUGCCCCCAUCUGCACCAUGAUACUCACACCCAGGAGAGGAGCAAAAUUUCUACUUUCUUCAGGGAAAUGUGAGGACAAGAGGAAGUUAACCCCUAAACACAAACUCUGUGCACAAAACCAGCUGUGAAGUCCAGAAGCAAAGCAGCCAUCCAUCCAGCAACUGUCAGUGGGCUCCUCCCUAAACCAGGAGCUAAGAGCAGAACAGUGGAGGCCCCUGCUCCAACCCACAGCUGAGCACCUUUCAUGCAUCCCAUGCUGAAGCAGCCCCAACCAUCUCUGAGACUAAGUGAAACCACCUUUGCAAAAUUAUAACUGAAGAAAUCAUGACAGUGAAA
rnacentral:lncRNA from 1 species